rnacentral:rRNA from 1 species
UACGGGGGGAGCAAGCGUUGUUCGGAUUUACUGGGCGUAAAGGGCGCGUAGGCGGUCAGCACAAGUCGGUUGUGAAAUCUCCGGGCUUAACCCGGAAGGUCAAUCGAUACUGCAGGGCUAGAGUGCAGAAGGGGCAACUGGAAUUCUCGGUGUAGCGGUGAAAUGCGUAGAUAUCGAGAGGAACACCUGCGGCGAAGGCGGGUUGCUGGGCUGACACUGACGCUGAAGCGCGAAAGCUAGGGGAGCGAACGGG